CAUAUUUUCCCAUAGGAGCAAUGUUGUCAUAAAGGGCCUUGUUCUUGGCUGAGAAUUUCACAUCCAAUAAAUCAAACCGAUGACCAACAAUAUGGCGGAAAAGCAGAACCAAACAAUAAAAUUACACUUCAAAGUCCAAGGAUUUCAGAACUCAAAGGGACCUCAGAGACGAUAGAUUUGCAGAGGAUGCAGCAGGUGAGUCCUGUGUACGUCAGAGGAGCUUCUACGCUGCACAGCGGCCACUCGGGGGGACAUUACUGGCCUCGAUCACAUCAUGGAGACCACAUGGAUGCUGGGAAUGCACUUCCCAUUGGCCGAGCUGAGGACAGGAGCAGGCUGUGGAGUUUCUGAUUGCCUUGAACUGCCAGAAAAAGCUGCUGUAAAACCUCGAUAUAUCACUGCUGCUCAAAACCACCCAAACCAUCUUCAACCCUCUGCCCUCUGGCAUGUGACUGGCCUGCGUUUCAGGAGGUGAAAGAUCAGACCUUUGUGAUUUGUUAAAGCACUCAGCAACCCAGAAAUAAACAUGCACGCCGA
rnacentral:lncRNA from 1 species